UCACAGGCACUUUUUGGUGUCACCCACAUUUAAAAAAAAAAAAAA
rfam:Poecilia formosa, whole genome shotgun sequence.